UUCAGUUCAGUUUAGAACGAGACGGUUCGCUUCUUGUCGGCAGCAACGACCAAUGUGGACAUAGAAGAAGAUAUUAAAGAAUUAAAGCUGAAGCCAAGAGAAGGCAGAGUAAAGUCCCACAAAUGUAAAUUUGUACUGCCAAGUGUUGCGCGAUUGAGAGGCACUCUGGUGCCCCGUUAACAAGUGUGAAGUGUAUUCAAAUUUAAAUUCCCGUUCUUUAUAUAUUGAAAUUCUGUGUAAAUUGUGAGACGUAAUUUUCAGACUUCUUCUCCAGUCACGAUCGAUUGCGGUGGUGAACGAUUUUAUGAAAUAGUAAAAGCGAAUUAAAGUGCGCUUCAUCAGACAACAAAAACCUUGCUAGCAGCGCGU